UCACGUUACAUAUUUCUUGAUAGGUCAAAAAAAUUCAUUAAACAGGCAAUCAUAGUGCUUACAUGGUUAUUUUAAGACACAUAUUUUUAUCUUCAGACGAUAGCCAUCACAGAAACUCUCUCUGCAUUCUGGUAAUGAGUUUUGCCAUUAUGCAAGUCACCUUAUAAAAUGACAGAAAAAACAGUGACAGCUAAUGGCAUCAGUCUUUUAACAAUGUUUCAGAGUUCAAGUUAGAUAAUGAUAUUUUGAAUGUAGAAUAAAUUAUAAUUUAAAAAAUACUCACCUUAUCUACCUUAAAGUCUGAUCUUUAAAGGAAGACUAAGGACUUUGAAAAAGUUAUCUUUUUUUUUUUAAUUUAGUCUUUAAUGUCAUGUGAUCUAUUAAAUUACCCUAGUGGGAUAUUACUCCAUUGUUAUUGUAUUAGGUGUUAAAGAUUAUCUUUAAGAUCUUAAAAUUUAAGAUUCUUAGAUGCUUAAUAAUAAUGAUUAGAGAAACUUAUCCAAUACAUCAUUGAUAAUGAAAAGUCUAUAUAUACCUCUAAAUUCUCCUUUCUUAAUCUGCCUGUUCGUUUUUUCUUUUCUUCUCAAAAACUUUCUGAAGUAAAAUUGAGAAAAUCCUACUAAGCAGACAUAGAACCUUUUCAUUUAUAGACCAACUCAUCAGAUUUGGUGGUUAAACAGAUAAUAAUAAUCUAUGAUUAUAUUUCACGCAUUCUAACAUUAGGUUAAUGGAUUCUUGAUGCAAUUAGUUUUGUUAUCUUGGAGUGUACAUGCCAAUCAAUGAACUAUGGAAUGUUGAUUUCGUUCAGGUGACACAAUUCGGUUGCGGAGGGUUUGUGAUAGGCCUCAUAUUCUGCCACAGCAUAUGCGAUGGUCUUGGUGCUGCACAGUUUCUAAAUGCAAUAGGGGAACUAGCUAGGGGUCUGGAGAAACCUACCACCGAACCAGUGUGGCACAGGAACUUCUUUCCAUCUUCUCAAACCCCUCAAGAAACUGCAUUGCCACCAAUACCACUCGC
rnacentral:lncRNA from 1 species